CAUAAAAUGUGUGCUAUGUAUGUAGAUGUUCCCAAAUUUUGUGUAACAAUUCCUGCGCCGAACUUUGGCGCCUUCUGAUGCGAAUGUUCAUUGAAGCUCCACGUCGAGGAAAAUGGAAGCUAAUCUCUCCUCCGCGUUCUCUACUUCAUCAGUAGGAUCUAGCCAAACUUCUUCAGUGUUCGACACGAGCCGGAGACGGAGAGGUCGGUGGUUUUACAGAGAAGGCGAAGCGGAGAUACUCAUACCUUCCAGUAGAAUCCAUUCUAAGGAGACAGUCGAGCAUAUCAGCUGGAGAACAAUCUGAGCCCCUUCUUUUCUGUUUGAUAAUAUUUUUCAGCAUGGAGAUAAUCUUCUUCCUCGCCUACUUACUUGAAGGCCUCGAUAAUAGUUAGUGCCAGGAAAGUUGAAUGGCAAUGAGAGAGUCCCUGCUAGAAGCUUAUAGAUUUCUGUCAUUAGAGAUUCUGAAAGUGGACUUUUUUCAAUUCCAGCUAUCAGUUUCAGUGCUGA